UACAGAGGUGCUCAAGCGUUUGUUCGGAUUCAUUGGGGCGUAAAGGGUGCGUAGGUGGCGCUGUAAGUCGGGUGUGAAAUUUCGGGAGCCUUAACUCGAAACUGCAUUCGAUACUGCGGUGCUUGAGGACUGGAGAGGAGACUGGAAAUUCAUGGUGUAGCAGUGAAAUGCGUAGAGAUCAUGAGGAAGACCAGUGGCGAAGGCGGGUCUCUGGACAGUUCCUGACACUGGAGGCACGAAGGCCAGGGAGCAAACGGG
rnacentral:rRNA from 1 species